UACAUAGGCUUCAAGCGUUGUCCGGAUUUAUUGGGCGUAAAGAGUUCGUAGGCGGUCGAGUAAGUCGGGUGUGAAAAUUCUGGGCUUAACCCAGAGACGCCACCCGAUACUACUUAACUAGAGUUCGGUAGGAGAGAGGGGAAUUCCUAGUGUAGCGGUGAAAUGCGCAGAUAUUAGGAGGAACACCGGUGGCGAAGGCGCCUCUCUGGACCGAUACUGACGCUGAGGAACGAAAGCAUGGGUAGCAAACAGG
rnacentral:rRNA from 1 species